rnacentral:tRNA from 1 species
GGGCCCGUAGCUCAGCGGCAGAGCGCCCGACUCAUAAUCGGUGUUGUCGCAGGUUCGAAUCCUGCCGGGCCCACCA